CCUACGGGAGGCAGCAGUGAGGAAUAUUGGUCAAUCGACGAGAGUCUGAACCAGCCAAGUAGCGUGAAGGAUGACUGCCCUAUGGGUUGUAAACUUCUUUUAUAUGGGAAUAAAACGUUCCACGUGUGGGAUUUUGUAUGUACCAUAUGAAUAAGGAUCGGCUAACUCCGUGCCAGCAGCCGCGGUAAUACGGAGGAUCCGAGCGUUAUCCGGAUUUAUUGGGUUUAAAGGGAGCGUAGGUGGAUUGUUAAGUCAGUUGUGAAAGUUUGCGGCUCAACCGUAAAAUUGCAGUUGAAACUGGCAGUCUUGAGUACAGUAGAGGUGGGCGGAAUUCGUGGUGUAGCGGUGAAAUGCUUAGAUAUCACGAAGAACUCCGAUUGCGAAGGCAGUUCACUGGACUGCAACUGACACUGAGGCUCGAAAGUGUGGGUAUCAAACAGGAUUAGAUACCCUUGUAGUC
rnacentral:rRNA from 1 species